UACGUAGGGUGCGAGCGUUAAUCGGAAUUACUGGGCGUAAAGGGUGAGUAGGCGGAAUGAUAAGUUAGAUGUGAAAUACCUGGGCUUAACCUGGGAAUUGCGUUUAAUACUGUUAUUCUAGAGUAUGUCAGAGGGGGGUAGAAUUCCAAGUGUAGCAGUGAAAUGCGUAGAGAUUUGGAGGAAUAUCGAAGGCGAAGGCAGCCCCCUGGGAUAAUACUGACGCUGAGUCACGAAAGCGUGGGGAGCAAACAGG
rnacentral:rRNA from 1 species